GUAUCGUCUAUUAUAGCCGUUGCUCUCCUUUAAAGUCAUUCAUCUCAACCGUCCAUCCUUCAAUCCCCAUCUAUAAAGCUAGGUUUCUCCUCUCAUUCUUCCUCUCAUCCCAGCCUCCCUCUCUCUUUCAUUUCUAUAGCUUGUUGUUUCUUCCGCCUCUAGAUUCUUCAUUUCAUUUCGAUCUGCAAAAGCCGUUGCUUCCUCCGCCUUGCAGAUUUCUAUAAAGCUGUAAGCCUUUUUUAAUCACCGGAGACCUGCGAUUACGACCGAGUGCCAUGGGAUUCACGGACUGCUCGAGGAGAAGAAGCUCAUCCAUGGCUGGCUGUUCGUUCCUUACCAGAUCUACACAACCGGCUGAGAUCUAGAGGCUAAUCAAUCCACUCUAUGGAGCAUAUGAUACUGAACUCUAUACUCCUUGUAUGCGAUGAUGAUGAUGGUUAAGCAAGGCUUUGUGAUGUAGUAAUCGCUAAGUGGAAAGUCCCUAUACUGUGUGUAAGUAAUCAGGGAAGGCCUAAUUUCAGGGGGCCUUAGUCUCUGAUUGAUCGGUAGAUUUAUUAUUGUUUCGACCUUUGCCAUGACAGGUGCGCUUGCAUGGCAGGUCAACCCAUCUCUUAAUAAAAAUUUUGAUUUUUGUGUUAUGAGAGAGGGAUCGCACGGGGAUUUGCCCGGGGUCUCUCUCUCUCUCUGUGGUGCGCUGAGUCUUUAUUGUUUUUUAUUCUGCUCUUCAAAUUUUCCAUCCAUCUUGAUCCUGCAUAUCUGAACAUGAUACACAGACUAUCCGAGCGAUAACACCGUCUUGAUCUUCAUCGGGCUGGCUUAACCUGCCAGGUUUAAAGGUACACUACUUUUACACAGACUAUUCCUUCCUUCAAUUUCGCAUGCUUCUUUAUUCCAAGUUUCCACUGACAAAUACUAUUACGUUAUCUUUACUUAAUAUGAAAAAAAUGGAAAUAAGUAGAUUUGUUCUAUCAAAAACUGAAGCUAUCAAAACUGAAGCAUACUCUAUGAACCUAUCAGGGUCUCUGUAAUUUAUGCUGAAUGGCCAGAAAUAUGUAUGUUUAAUUAUUAAAAGGAGUUACCAUUUUCUUUAGACGGCCCUUUGGGUCCAGCACCAAAAUUUCAAAUUGAUUUCAAUUUGAUUAUUUGUGGUUGUAUAUACUUUUGAACAGUUAAAAGGAACUGCCAUAUUCUAUGAAGUGCUUUUGGGUCCAGCACGAAAACUUGAAUAUGUAUGAAUAUUAGCGGAGGUAUCUAUUUUUAAACAGUAGAAAGUCAAUUCGUUCUAUUAAGGGCUUUGUUUUCAGCGCUAAAACUUAUCAUAAUUGUCCGUGGAAGCCCUUACACCAUUUAUGCCCAGAAAUGGUCCGUCCAAGCCAUUUGCACUGCCUUUUUUACUUAGUAAUGUUUGAUUUAGUGUCAAAUAGCAGUUAAUUUUAUAAUACCAGAGUUGGAUUCAAUUGUUGUGUUGUUUCAAGUGGUAGACGAUAAUGUUAAUUUUGAUUGAAAAAUUCAUUGCUGCAAAGUAGGCAAUGGCCUGUAAUUAAUCUGUUAUUUGGAAAUGUUUGUUGUUCCAUUAUUUGCACAAUUCUUCACUUUUUAUUUUUACUGUAGAUUCAAAUCAGUUUGAUUGUGCAAACAGACAAGUUUGUGUAUUUGUGGUGGUUUUAGUGAGAUGUACCCGGUAUGUUAUUAACUGGGAUGGCAAUAGAAAUGGAUUAGGCGCUAUUCUCUAGGACUUGUGCCCAAGUUUUAUUCUUAGCUUAGGUAAUCAAGGUAUGUUGGGGUGGGUGGUUUCUUCAUUUGGUUGAUCAAGACAUUGCAGCACACGCCCCUCUGCUAUUUGGAGAGGAAAAGCGUUUACAGGCGGUUCAUUUGGCAUUUCUGGUUGCAGAAGGGUUUACUGAAGAUCCAUAUCCAGUUAUCUGAGGUGACUCAAUUGUGAUUAAUGAUCAAAUUAUUUCAUUUAUUCGUUUUGUGUGUUCAUGCUCUAUUUUUUCUUCAUUACCAUGUACUUAAUAAGCUAAACAAUAGUAUUAUAGCUGAUGUCGUUUAUUUUUCUUCCUCUAAUAGUUUUUACACAUCUUGCAUUGUUGAAAUAUCUCAAUAUCCCUGUAUUUUGUAUAUUUGUGUGGAUGUAGUUCAGGAACAUCCAAGUUAAUUUCCCCCCCACCCCUGUGGUUUUAGGAUUGUAUACACAUUCUUGUACUACUAAAGUUACAGUAAGUUUGAAAAGCAAUGAUAGUUGAAAACA